GUCCAGACUCCUACGGGAGGCAGCAGUGGGGAAUAUUGCACAAUGGGGGAAACCCUGAUGCAGCGACGCCGCGUGAGCGAUGAAGUAUUUCGGUAUGUAAAGCUCUAUCAGCAGGGAAGAAAAUGACGGUACCUGACUAAGAAGCCCCGGCUAACUACGUGCCAGCAGCCGCGGUAAUACGUAGGGGGCAAGCGUUAUCCGGAUUUACUGGGUGUAAAGGGAGCGUAGACGGCUGUGCAAGCCAGAUGUGAAAGCCCGGGGCUCAACCCCGGGACUGCAUUUGGAACUGUGUGGCUGGAGUGUCGGAGAGGCAGGCGGAAUUCCUAGUGUAGCGGUGAAAUGCGUAGAUAUUAGGAGGAACACCAGUGGCGAAGGCGGCCUGCUGGACGAUGACUGACGUUGAGGCUCGAAAGCGUGGGGAGCAAACAGGAUUAGAUACCCCGGUAC
rnacentral:rRNA from 1 species